rnacentral:rRNA from 1 species
CGUGCCUAACACAUGCAAGUCGAGCGAGACGGUUAUGAUUGAUCCUUCGGGUGAUUGAGUAACUAGAAAGCGGCGGACGGGUGAGUAACGCGUGGGUAAAUGAACACACCAAGGAUAGCCAUUGGAAACGAUGAUUAAUACUUGAUAACACAUUUAGAUCUCCUGGUCUUAAUGUCAAAGAUUUAUCGGUGUAGGAUGGACCCGCGUCUGAUUAGCUAGUUGGUAAGGUAACGGCUUACCAAGGCGACGAUCAGUAGCCGACCUGAGAGGGUGAUCGGCCACACUGGAACUGAGACACGGUCCAGACUCCUACGGGAGGCAGCAGUGGGGAAUAUUGCACAAUGGGCGCAAGCCUGAUGCAGCAACGCCGCGUGAACGAAGAAGGCCUUCGGGUCGUAAAGUUCUUUUCUUAGGGAAGAAAAAUGACGGUACCUAAGGAAUAAGCACCGGCUAAAUACGUGCCAGCAGCCGCGGUAAUACGUAUGGUGCAAGCGUUAUCCGGAAUCACUGGGCGUAAAGGGUGCGUAGGUGGUUUUGCAAGUCAGAAGUGAAAGGCUACGGCUCAACCGUAGUAAGCUUUUGAAACUGCAAGACUAGAGUGCAGGAGAGGAAAGUGGAAUUCCUAGUGUAGAGGUGAAAUUCGUAGAUAUCAGGAGGAACACCGGUGGCGAAGGCGACUUCCUGGACCAUACUGACGCUGAGGUGCGAAGGCGUGGGUAGCAAACAGGAUUAGAUACCCUGGUUAGUCCACGCAGUAAACGUUGUUCACUAGGUGUAGCGGGUAUUGACCCCUGCUGUGCCGC